ACGUAGGCAGCAAGCGUUGUUCGGAGUUACUGGGCGUAAAGAGUACGUAGGCGGUUUGCUAAGUCUGGUGUGAAAUCUCCUGGCUUAACUGGGAGGGUGCGCUAGAUACUGGCAGGCUUGAGUAUGGGAGAGGAGAGUGGAAUUCCUGGUGUAGCGGUGAAAUGCGUAGAUAUCAGGAGGAACGCCGGUGGUGUAGACGGCUCUCUGGACCAUAACUGACGCUGAGGUACGAAAGCGUGGGUAGCAAACAGGA
rnacentral:rRNA from 1 species